rnacentral:rRNA from 1 species
UACGUAGGGGGCAAGCGUUGUCCGGAAUUAUUGGGCGUAAAGCGCGCGCAGGCGCCUUGUAAGUCUGUCGUUUAAACUCGGAGCUCAACUUCGAGUCGCGAUGGAAACUGCAAAGCUUGAGUGCAGAAGAGGAAAGUGGAAUUCCAACGUGUAGCGGUGAAAUGCGUAGAGAUGUGGAGGAACACCAGUGGCGAAGGCGACUCUUUGGUCUGUAACUGACGCUGAGGCGCGAAAGCGUGGGGAGCAAACAGG